rnacentral:lncRNA from 1 species
AACUACUGAGCCAUGACGGGAACUCCAAGGAUACUCUUGUCCUCAAAAGCCUACCAUACUUUUGAGGGGUAAGACUUACUCAUUUGUCAAAGACAUAAUUAAAAUUCAAAGGCAUCAUUACCCUUAGAGUUGAGAGGAAAGAGCACUCCCUGUAUUUAUAGUCUCUUUGGAGACCAGAUAGAAAUUCAGUGGGAGUCAAGAGAAAAUGAGAAAAUCUUGAAAGAGUGACCAUUUGAGUCUGAUGACAAAGGGAAUAUCUUUACGGGGGCGUGGGGAGGCGUUGGUUUUGUUAAAACUGCAGUGGGGAAAAAGAUCUUAGUAUUCUUUGCAACAACAGAAAAUCCCCAGACAAACCUAAAUGGGGCCUGGUAGUCUCACUGGCUUUAUGCGAAGGGGGUGGGAGGUGGGGGGACCGGCUGGAGACAUCCAGUGCACACUCCUGGUUUCCUCAUUCAGCCUGAGAGACACUGAUACCCCUUGUUGAGUUACUUAUCCAGAUCCUCUUUAAGCUCCAUUUCUUUCUUUCCCCAGCAGAUCCCUGGAGAGAUGCCCUUUCAACCUUCCAUCUCUGCUAAAUGCCUUUUGGAUCCCAGCAGUGGACUCCACUGGAUGGGUGGAUUGACUCAGAGCAGACUGUUACUGAGGCCUAUUAGGGUUGGUGAAAAGCAUUCUAGCCAGAGCCUCCAGAGAGACGGUGCCUGGAGCAUACACACAGAGAGACACUGGGAAAAUACCCUUGUGCUGGAGCGACAGGGUGAAAACAUCUGUGUUCCUGAGCUGCUUAAGAAGAUAAAGUUAAUGGGGAGAAGGCAGGGGGCGGGGGAGGUGGGAGGAGUGGGGAAUGGUGCAGUCUGAGGGCGCGCAUGUUUGGAGCAGAUGGAAAAUGUACCCAGAACUGGAGAUGUGAGCCAAUUGUAACUGAUUUUACAACAGAGGUAUACAGAGGAGUCUCAAAGAUGCAGAAUUCCAGUGAAAAACCUGGAGGGUGGCUAAAGGAGGAGAAACCUCUUAAACCCCCAAAGUAAGAUUAAUUCCUGAGAGCGGGCAGGGAAGAUGAUCCCAAGUGGUCCAUGAUUCUAAGUGAAUUUCAUACCUGCCUGCCAGGGAGUGAGGUUUACAGGGUGACCUGGCUAAUCGUCGUUUUCUCACCCCCAAUUUUGCUUCUAAACUGGACAUGCCCUUUCCCUCUCGGCCGCCUGCCUCAAAACUUGUCAAGCUACUCCUUCUCUUUCGCUAAAAUGCUGCUUCCUAGCAGUCUAAUAUGUGACACAAAUGAACCUCUACAAAAAUGAAACAAACUCAUGGACUUGGAGAACAGACUUGUGGUUGCCAAGAGGGAGGGGGUGGGGGAGGGAGUGGGAUGGACGGGGAGUUUGGGGUGAGUAGAUGCAAACUAUUGCCUUUGGAGUGGAUAAGUAAUGGGAUCCUGCUGUAGAGCACAGGGAGCUGUAUCUAAUCACUUGUGAUGGAACAUGAUGGAGGAUAAUGUGAGAAAAAGAAUGUAUAUAUACGCAUGCCUGGGUCACUGUGCAAUACGGCAGAAAUUGACAGAACACUGUCAAUCAACUAAAUAAGAACCAUUUUAAAAGUUAAUUAAACAAAUAAAUAAGAAAAGGAAAACUUGGUAGUUGCUGAA